UCUUAUGGAUAAGCAAAGAAAGUAGAUUUUCAGGACAGAAUCUACUGCUGGUGAAGGUGCUAUGAA
rnacentral:pre_miRNA from 4 species